GUACACGCUGUGACUAGCAUAUCAAUAAGCGGAGGAAAAGAAACUAACAAGGAUUCCCUUAGUAACGGCGAGUGAAGCGGGAAGAGCUCAAAUUUGAAAUCUUAAAGGUUUUACCUUGACGAAUUGUAGUUUAAAGAAGUGUUUUCUGCUGAAGUUUUGGUAAAAGUUCUUUGGAAUAGGACAUCAUAGAGGGUGAGAAUCCCGUAUUUGACCAUUAUUUUCAGCUUUGUGAUACACUUUCAAAGAGUCGGAUUGUUUGGGAAUGCAGUCCAAGAUGGGUGGUAAAUUUCAUCUAAAGCUAAAUAUUGGCGAGAGACCGAUAGCGAACAAGUACCGUGAGGGAAAGAUGAAAAGAACUUUGAAAAGAGAGUUAAACAGUACGUGAAAUUGUCAAAAGGGAAGCGUUUGACACCAGUGUUGUUUUCUCGAAAAUCAAUUAAAAAUGGCUCGAUUUUGUAUCGCUUGAGACCUUAAAAGCUCACUGUACAUUUUUCGUGUCUUUUUUAAUGCACUUUUCGUUUAGCAAGUCAACAUCAGUUUCUUUUGUUGUAAAAGGGUCAUUGGAAGGUGGCUUUCUUUUCGGAGAAAGUGUUUAUAGCCUUUGGCCUCUGCAAUCGAAGAGACUGAGGUCUGCAGCGUAGACUCUUCGGGGUUAGAUACAUUUGUGCUAAGUUAUAGCUUUUUAUAGACAACUUGUUGACUAUAAUUAGUCUUGUAGCUUACUCGCUUAUGCUAUUUUUACCUACGCUUAGGAUGUUGAGCGCAUGUCUCUCUCU
rnacentral:rRNA from 1 species